rnacentral:rRNA from 1 species
GUGUCAGCCGCCGCGGUAAUACGUAGGUCCCAAGCGUUAUCCGGAAUUACUGGGCGUAAAGAGUCUGUAGUCGGUCUCGCAAGUCUACUUUCAAAUACCUCGGCUUAACCGAGGAAAGGGGGUGGAUACUGCGAGUCUGGAAGUUUUCAGGGGUGAGUAGAAUUCCCGGUGGAGAGGUGAAAUUCGUUGAUAUCGGGAGGAAUGCCAAAAGCGAAAGCAGCUCACUAUGAAUAUCUUGACGAUGAGAGACGAAAGUUUGGGUAGCAAACGGGAUUAGAAACCCUCGUAGUCC